CCUACGGGCGGCUGCAGUGGGGAAUAUUGGACAAUGGGCGAAAGCCUGAUCCAGCCAUGCCGCGUGUGUGAAGAAGGCCUUCGGGUUGUAAAGCACUUUCAGUGGGGAAGAAAGCCUUGGGGCUAAUACCCUCGAGGAAGGACAUCACCCACAGAAGAAGCACCGGCUAACUCCGUGCCAGCAGCCGCGGUAAUACGGAGGGUGCGAGCGUUAAUCGGAAUUACUGGGCGUAAAGCGCGCGUAGGCGGUCUGAUAAGCCGGUUGUGAAAGCCCCGGGCUCAACCUGGGAACGACAUCCGGAACUGUCAGGCUAGAGUGCAGGAGAGGAAGGUAGAAUUCCCGGUGUAGCGGUGAAAUGCGUAGAGAUCGGGAGGAAUACCAGUGGCGAAGGCGGCCUUCUGGACUGACACUGACGCUGAGGUGCGAAAGCGUGGGUAGCAAACAGGAUUAGAUACCCCAGUAGUC
rnacentral:rRNA from 1 species